rnacentral:rRNA from 1 species
GAUGAACGCUGGCGGCGUGCCUAAUACAUGCAAGUCGAGCGAACAGACGAGGAGCUUGCUCCUCUGACGUUAGCGGCGGACGGGUGAGUAACACGUGAUAACCUACCUAUAAGACUGGGAUAACUUCGGGAAACCGGAGCUAAUACCGGAUAAUAUAUUGAACCGCAUGGUUCAAUAGUGAAAGACGGUUUUGCUGUCACUUAUAGAUGGAUCCGCGCCGCAUUAGCUAGUUGGUAAGGUAACGGCUUACCAAGGCAACGAUGCGUAGCCGACCUGAGAGGGUGAUCGGCCACACUGGAACUGAGACACGGUCCAGACUCCUACGGGAGGCAGCAGUAGGGAAUCUUCCGCAAUGGGCGAAAGCUUGACGGAGCAACGCCGCGUGAGUGAUGAAGGUCUUCGGAUCGUAAAACUCUGUUAUUAGGGAAGAACAAAUGUGUAAGUAACUAUGCACGUCUUGACGGUACCUAAUCAGAAAGCCACGGCUAACUACGUG